UGGGGGAUAUUGCACAAUGGGCGAAAGCCUGAUGCAGCGACGCCGCGUGGGGGAUGAAGGCCUUCGGGUUGUAAACUUCUUUUGCUCUGAACAAGGCAUGCCUGUGGGGUGUGUUGAGUGUAGGGGUUGAUUAGCGCCGGCUAACUACGUGCCAGCAGCCGCGGUAAUACGUAGGGCGCGAGCGUUGUCCGGAAUUAUUGGGCGUAAAGGGCUUGUAGGUGGCUGGUUGCGUCUGUCGUGAAAGCUCAUGGCUUAACUGUGGGUUUGCGGUGGGUACGGGCUGGCUUGAGUGCAGUAGGGGAGGCUGGAAUUCCUGGUGUAGCGGUGGAAUGCGCAGAUAUCAGGAGGAAUACCGGUGGCGAAGGCGGGUCUCUGGGCUGUUACUGACGCUGAGGAGCGAAAGCGUGGGGAGCGAACAGG
rnacentral:rRNA from 1 species